rnacentral:tRNA from 1 species
GUUGGUUUAGUCUAGUGGGUAAGGCACCAGGUUAGAAACCUGGUGGGUGACUUUGAGCCAAUU